UACGAAGGGGGCUAGCGUUGUUCGGAUUUACUGGGCGUAAAGCGCACGUAGGCGGCUUGUUAAGUGAGGGGUGAAAUCCUGGAGCUCAACUCCAGAACUGCCUUUCAUACUGGCAAGCUAGAGUCCGGAAGAGGUGAGUGGAACUCCUAGUGUAGAGGUGGAAUUCGUAGAUAUUGGGAAGAACACCGAUGGCGAAGGCAGCCAUCUGGACCGACACUGACGCUGAGGCGCGAAAGCGUGGGGAGCAAACAGG
rnacentral:rRNA from 1 species